rnacentral:rRNA from 1 species
GGCGAGUGAAGCGGUAACAGCUCAAAUUUGAAAUCUGGCCUCACGGUCCGAGUUGUAAUUUGUAGAGGAUGUUUCGAGCAUGGUCUGGCCUAAGUUCCUUGGAACAGGACGUCAUAGAGGGUGAGAAUCCCGUAUGCGGCCAGGUGCCUACGCUCAUGUGAAGCUCCUUCGACGAGUCGAGUUGUUUGGGAAUGCAGCUCAAAAUGGGUGGUAAAUUUCAUCUAAAGCUAAAUAUUGGCCAGAGACCGAUAGCGCACAAGUAGAGUGAUCGAAAGAUGAAAAGCACUUUGGAAAGAGAGUUAAACAGUACGUGAAAUUGUUGAAAGGGAAGCGCUUGCAACCAGACUUGCGCGCGGCUGAUCAUCCGGUGUUCUCACUGGUGCACUCGGUCGCGCUCAGGCCAGCAUCGGUUUUGGUGGUUGGAUAAAGGUCCUAGGAAUGUGGCUCCUCUCGGGGAGUGUUAUAGCCUAGGGCGCAAUGCA